rnacentral:tRNA from 2 species
AAUCAAUUAAUCUAUUUUUCCAGAUGAAGAACUGUAAAUUCUUUUAUUCCACAUUCAAUUUUGAAA